rnacentral:rRNA from 1 species
UUUUUGUGGCGAAUAGGGGCGCGUGAGGAACCUUGGGCCAGGGUGGACCGUCCGCCUCACCCCGUGCACUGGUGCGGACGGGCCUUUGUUCUGGGGAGCCUAAUGCCCUUCAAUGGGUGUGGUGGGGGACAACGACUUUUACUUUGAUAAAUUAAAGUGUUCAAAGGCGGACUGUGCCCCCCUACAUUACACUGGAAUAAUAGAACAGGACCUGGGGGACCAUUUUUUUCUCUGCUACCACCGCCCCCAUGAUAAAAAAGAUGAGCGUUGGGCAUCAGUAUACCUUUGUCCCAGGUGAAAUUCUUGGAUUUAUUGACCACUAGGAACGGCCGGCGCAUUUGCCAAAGAUGUAUUCAUUAGACGGCGGCCCAAACUUGCGGGAGAGCAUAUGAUCUAAUACCAUCCAACUCGUAGCCCCUAACUAUGCCAUCUAGUGUUCGGGAAAUGUUGUCUUUUAGACUCCCUCGGCACCCAACCACAAAUCAGAGUCUUUGGGUUCUUCCGGGGAGGUGGGACGCAAGGUUGAAACUUAAUGAAAUUAACUGCACGGCACCACCUCGAGUGAAGCCGGCACCUUCAUUUGACACCCACGUGGACACUCGGCAUGUGCGGACAUAAACUGAUUACAGAUUGAGAUCUCGUUCUAGAUGCUCUGUGUGGUGGAGCAGGGCGCUCAUACUUCGCGGAGUGAGUGGCCAACUACAUUGCUAAUCGUGCGAGACUCACUCUGCCUCAUAAUUGGCUAGCUAUGGCAUGGACGCAGACUCUACCAUGGACUAUGGCUCAAUACGAUGCCAGGUCGAGGCAAUUACAGGUCAGUGCAUGAUCGUAAUUCUAAUGGCGAUCGUCAGUCUGUCUAACAUUGAAUGAU